rnacentral:ncRNA from 1 species
UCGGUUUGGUCAUCAUCCAGAUGCCAAGAGGGAACACGGGUGAGAGUCCCGGACAGUCCCGCUGCUGUGAGACCCAAAGCAGAAUGCCUUAGUGCAGAAAGCAUUAGAUGUCCGACAGAGAGCCACUGUGCCACAUGGGUGCGGGAAGGCGUCGGACAGACGGGGUCAAGUCAGAAGACCUGCCAAACCA